rnacentral:tRNA from 1 species
GACAACGUAGCUCAUCUGGGUAGAGCAACUGAUUUCUAAUCAGUAGGUAGCGGGUUCGAAUCCCGCCGCUGUCU